AGAUAUCAGUGCCUUUUACUUUGGAAAAAGAUCCAUCCUUUUAGGUGGUGGUCCCUGUUCUUCUGGUGUUGACUUGUAUUUUCUUUUGCCCCUUCUUUUGAUUUCAUUGAUUGGAGGAGGUGACUUCGAUUUUCCGUGGGGUCAGUUGUAGCAUAUGGAAAGCAGAAAUUCCACAAGGAUAACCAUUAUAAAUAGGACACCAUUCAUAUUACAAUUUAUUUUGGUUAUAGUUUGAAGGAUAUCAUUGUUUGUUAUUAAGAUCGGAGUACCUUUUUUUUUUAUUGAAUCAAUUAUUCUUAUUUGGAGUUUGUGUUCUUUGCAUCAUAUCUUUAUGUAUUUAUUUUAUCUUGUUUCGUUUUUUUUUUUAAUCGUAGCUUUCUGGUUUUAAAUAUUUCCCAUUUAUUACUCUUUUAUGGGUUCCAACCAAGAGCAAAAAUUUGAGCAGAUGGAGCUUGAAGAUUAAUUUUGGACCCUGGGAAUCUUAUGCCUACUGUAUUUCUGUGUGUCAAUUUGUGGUGAUGUGUUUUAAGUUCAACAGUUAAUGUAAACCAUGUUGUUUGGGAACGAAGGGUACGAGGUCUAUUUUCCUCAUUCCAGUCAAGAAUCCAGAAAGCUAUUAGUCGGGUUGAUGCUUUAGAGGUUUUGGAAUAAAUAGAUGACUAAAUUAGAUCUUCCAAAAGGUGCAAAAUAAAUGAAAAUGGCUUCUUUCUACCUUAAGAUUGAAUUCCAGUGGUCAGAUAGUGGUAGGCAUCUAGUAACUUUCAUUCCGAGGAUGAUGUCUUAAGCUAAGUUAGACCAUUCCCUGAGUAUGUAAAUUAUAAGGCAGAGAAACAUUGGAAUAGUGCCCUUGAACUUUGUCUCAAAGUGUUACAAGGUGGGGUGGAUUUAAGGCGGUCUUUAGGUUUAGAUCUUAAAAAAAUGAGAGAGAGAGAGAGAGAAUGCCCUGUGUUUCUUGAAAGCGUUAAUUGUCAAUUGCGUAUAUGGUUUCUUGACUGCCUUGGCCAUAGGAUGUGGGCAGCAGCUCAACCAUUUGAUCAAAUUGUUAUCAUAAAGGUUAUCUGUUAGAUUUUGAAAUUUGUAGUUGUGGGACAUGCUGUUUUAGGUUGGGAUUUCUCACUUUUUCUGAUAAUAGCAAAAAAAAUUUAUUUGGAGAGGAGGAAAUCUAGUACAAUUGAGAGGAAAGUAUCCUUGUGACAAAAUUAGAAAAGAAAUAUUCAAAGGAGAAUAAAGGGCUUUUCAAUCCCAUUGAACAUUAGUUCAGGUACCUUUCUAAAAGAACAACGAAGAACACUGCCAGGAUGCCAAAAUAUAUCCUAGCCUGAUCAGUGGUAUUGGAAAGUAUUUAUCUUUAAAAUUUUUUCAUUCUUCCAUUCCAAUACAAUAAACGAUUGUCAACACACUGCACAAAAUAUCUCUUCUUUAACCUCUCAAAAUCUCUGAAGUUGGAAUGCAUUAAUGCCUUCAAAAUUUUAUUUCAAUGUUUUAAAAGCCUCUUCCAAAUACUUUGCACGGCAGAACAAUGUAAAAAUAGAUGACCAUGAGUGGAACAACUAUGAUAUCACAUAAAACAUGUCAACAGAACAUCAGUCAUUGAUAUUAGUCUGAUCAAGUCCAUACCAAAAAAAUAAUCUUAAGUGUUUCUUCCUGAAUCUUGGUUGACUGCAUAUCUUUGGUUUGUGAGUAUAUCUUUUUACCUGUCAUGUUUUUGUUGUGUAUAUAUACAUUAAUACUGUCAACGCUGACAUUGCACUCUGAGCAGAGCAGGGUUACAGUGUUGUGC
rnacentral:misc_RNA from 1 species